ensembl:misc_RNA Metazoa_SRP Metazoan signal recognition particle RNA
GCUGGACACGGUGGCACAUGCCUACAGUCCCAGCUAAUUGAGAGGCUGAGACGGGAGGAUCUCUUGAGUCCAGGAGUUCUGGGCUGUAGUGCACUAUGCUGGGUGUCCACACUAAGUUCAGCAUCAAUAUGGUGACCUCCCAGGAGCAUGGGGGCACCAGGUUGCCUAAGGAGGUGUGAACCAGUCCAGUUUGGAAAUGGAGCAGGUCAAAAUUCUCAUGCUGAGGGGCAGUGCCUGUGGCUCAGUGAGUAGGGUGCCAGCCUCAUGUACCAAGAGUGGCAGGUUCAAAUCCAGCCC